AUUGCUUCUCGGCCUUUUGGCUAAGAUCAAGUGAAGUAUAUGUUAAUAUCUGAUAUGUCCUCUAUCCGAGAACAAUAUAUUAAAUGGAUUUUUGGAGUAGGGAGAUGGAAUAGGAGCUUGCUCCAUCCACUCCUCGCAUCAACCUGGUAUUGCAGUACUUCCACGAACGGUGCACCCCUC
ensembl:snRNA U2 U2 spliceosomal RNA